rnacentral:rRNA from 1 species
UACAGAGGGGGCAAGCGUUGUUCGGAAUUACUGGGCGGUAAAGGGCGCGUAGGCGGCCGGCUAAGUCGAAACGUGAAAGUCCCCGGGCCUCAACCCGGGAACUGCGUCCGAUACUGGUCGGUGCUUGGAAUUCGGGAGAGGGAUGCGGAAUUCCAGGUGAUAGCGGUGAAAUGCGUAGAUAUCUGGAGGAACACCGGUGGCGAAGGCGGCAUCCUGGACCGAGAUUGACGCUGAGGCGGCGAAAAGCCAGGGGAGCAAACGGG